rnacentral:ncRNA from 1 species
CCUUGCAUUGAUCGCGCCGGUGCCCCGAUGGGGCUUAAAAGGGAACGCGGUAAGGGGGUCCGGCCGGACCUUCGAAACCGGGGCUGUCCCUGCAACUGUAAGCGGCGAGCGCGAUGCACCGACCCGGUCCCCGACCGGGUCUGCCACUGGGGCGACCUGGGAAGGCGUGCAUCAAGCGACGACCCGCGAGCCAGGAGACCUGCCGGCGUGGGUCGCUCAAU